GAUGAACGCUGGCGGCGUGCCUAAUACAUGCAAGUCGAGCGAACGGACGAGAAGCUUGCUUCUCUGAUGUUAGCGGCGGACGGGUGAGUAACACGUGGAUAACCUACCUAUAAGACUGGGAUAACUUCGGGAAACCGGAGCUAAUACCGGAUAAUAUUUUGAACCGCAUGGUUCAAAAGUGAAAGACGGUCUUGCUGUCACUUAUAGAUGGAUCCGCGCUGCAUUAGCUAGUUGGUAAGGUAACGGCUUACCAAGGCAACGAUGCAUAGCCGACCUGAGAGGGUGAUCGGCCACACUGGAACUGAGACACGGUCCAGACUCCUACGGGAGGCAGCAGUAGGGAAUCUUCCGCAAUGGGCGAAAGCCUGACGGAGCAACGCCGCGUGAGUGAUGAAGGUCUUCGGAUCGUAAAACUCUGUUAUUAGGGAAGAACAUAUGUGUAAGUAACUGUGCACAUCUUGACGGUACCUAAUCAGAAAGCCACGGCUAACUACGUGCCAGCAGCCGCGGUAAUACGUAGGUGGCAAGCGUUAUCCGGAAUUAUUGGGCGUAAAGCGCGCGUAGGCGGCUUUUUAAGUCUGAUGUGAAAGCCCACGGCUCAACCGUGGAGGGUCAUUGGAAACUGGAAAACUUGAGUGCAGAAGAGGAAAGUGGAAUUCCAUGUGUAGCGGUGAAAUGCGCAGAGAUAUGGAGGAACACCAGUGGCGAAGGCGACUUUCUGGUCUGUAACUGACGCUGAUGUGCGAAAGCGUGGGGAUCAAACAGGAUUAGAUACCCUGGUAGUCCACGCCGUAAACGAUGAGUGCUAAGUGUUAGGGGGUUUCCGCCCCUUAGUGCUGCAGCUAACGCAUUAAGCACUCCGCCUGGGGAGUACGACCGCAAGGUUGAAACUCAAAGGAAUUGACGGGGACCCGCACAAGCGGUGGAGCAUGUGGUUUAAUUCGAAGCAACGCGAAGAACCUUACCAAAUCUUGACAUCCUUUGACAACUCUAGAGAUAGAGCUUUCCCCUUCGGGGGACAAAGUGACAGGUGGUGCAUGGUUGUCGUCAGCUCGUGUCGUGAGAUGUUGGGUUAAGUCCCGCAACGAGCGCAACCCUUAAGCUUAGUUGCCAUCAUUAAGUUGGGCACUCUAAGUUGACUGCCGGUGACAAACCGGAGGAAGGUGGGGAUGACGUCAAAUCAUCAUGCCCCUUAUGAUUUGGGCUACACACGUGCUACAAUGGACAAUACAAAGGGCAGCGAAACCGCGAGGUCAAGCAAAUCCCAUAAAGUUGUUCUCAGUUCGGAUCGUAGUCUGCAACUCGACUACAUGAAGCUGGAAUCGCUAGUAAUCGUAGAUCAGCAUGCUACGGUGAAUACGUUCCCGGGUCU
rnacentral:rRNA from 1 species